rnacentral:rRNA from 1 species
AGGCUUUGAUCCUGGCUCAGGAUGAACGCUAGCGGCAGGCGUAAUACAUGCAAGUCGAACGGUAGGAUUUGUAGCAAUACGAAUCUGAGAGUGGCGCACGGGUGCGUAACACGUAUGCAACUACCCUUAACAGGGGGAUAGCCCGGGGAAACCCGGAUUAAUACCCCAUAGUAUUAUUUAGAGGCAUCUUUAAAUAAUUAAAGCUGAGGUGGUUAAGGAUGGGCAUGCGCAUGAUUAGCUAGUUGGCGGGGUAACGGCCCACCAAGGCGAUGAUCAUUAGGGGAACUGAGAGGUUGAUCCCCCACACUGGCACUGAGAUACGGGCCAGACUCCUACGGGAGGCAGCAGUAGGGAAUAUUGGUCAAUGGGCGGUAGCCUGAACCAGCCAUGCCGCGUGCAGGAAGACGGCCUUCUGGGUUGUAAACUGCUUUUAUCUGGGGAUAAAAAGCCCAUGCGUGGGUCAUUGCAGGUACCAUGAUGAAUAAGCCACGGCUAACUA